rnacentral:rRNA from 1 species
UACAGAGGUCCCGAGCGUUGUUCGGAUUCACUGGGCGUAAAGCGCGCGUAGGCGGUUCGUUAAGUGGGAUGUGAAAUCCCCGGGCUUAACCUGGGAAUUGCAUUUCAAACUGGCCGACUAGAGUACGGUAGAGGGAGGUAGAAUUUCCUGUGUAGCGGUGAAAUGCGUAGAUAUAGGAAGGAAUACCAGUGGCGAAGGCGGCCUCCUGGAUCGAUACUGACGCUGAGGCGCGAAAGCGUGGGGAGCAAACAGG